ACAGGGCAAGGUUGCAUGCCUACAUUCUCAACUUCUUGGGAGGCUGAGGCAGGGGAAUUGCUUGAGCCAAGGAUUUCUAAGAUGUAGUGUGCCAUGCCAGUCAGAUGUCCACACUGUUUUUCAUCAGUAUGGUGACCUCCCAUGAGCAGGAGACCACCAGGUUGCUCGAAGAGAGGUGAACCAUCCCGGGUCAGAAAUGAAGCAGGUCAAAACUCUCAUGCUGGUCCAUAGUGGGAUCACACCUGUGAAUAGUCACUGCCUUCCAGCCUGGACAACAUAACCUGUGUC
rnacentral:SRP_RNA from 10 species